GUUUGAUCCUGGCUCAGAGCGAACGUUAGCGGCAGGCUUAACACAUGCAAGUCGAGCGAGAAAGGGGCUUCGGCUCCGAGUAAAGCGGCGGACGGGUGCGUAACACGUGGAUAAUCUGCCUCGUGGCGGGGGACAACAGUCCGAAAGGACUGCUAAUACCGCAUGUCAGGUCGGAAACUCCGGUUUCUGACGAAAAAGAGGGCGCCCGCAAGGGGCUCUCACCACGAGAUGAGUCCGCGUCCCAUCAGCUAGUUGGCGGUGUAAUAGACCACCAAGGCUUAGACGGGUAGCUGGUCUGAGAGGAUGACCAGCCACACUGGGACUGAGACACGGCCCAGACUCCUACGGGAGGCAGCAGUGGGGAAUAUUGGACAAUGGGCGAAAGCCUGAUCCAGCCAUGCCGCGUGAGUGAUGAAGGCCU
rnacentral:rRNA from 1 species